CAGCUUUGUGACUGGACCAGCUGGCUGGUUCCAUGAGGUGACUUCUGCCCAGUGCUCUGAUUGUCAAUGCGAAGAGAUUCAGCCAAGCGCGGGUCAACGGCGGGAGUAACUAUGACUCUCUUAAGGUAGCCAAAUGCCUCGUCAACCAAUUAUUGACGCGCAUGAAUGGAUCAACGAGAUUCCUGCUGUCCCUAGAUGCUGUCUGGUGAACCAACAGCCAAGGGAACGGGCUUGGAUGUGUCAGCGGGGAAAGAAGACCCUGUUGAGUUUGACUCUAGUUUGAUGCUGUGCAGUGACAUGGAGGGUGUAGCACAGGUGGGAGGCAAGUGCCAUCUCCAGAGUGAUCCCUGAUUGCUGACUGUGGUGCUGGUGAGGCCCUGUGAGCCUGGCACAGCCCUCAGGGGUGGUGACCAGUUGCCCACUGUGGUGUACACCCAGCCCACUGCAGCUGAGUGAUAGCCUGGUGCAAGCCAGCAGUGAAAUACCACUACCUUCACCGUCACUUUACUCAUCGAGUGGCUUGGGAACAGUGGCCAAUCACAAUCAGCCACUGCAACCUUGUGGUGGCUGUGGCCUUGACCUGCUUCGUGAGCCAAGCACUGUGCUCUGUGCAGUGUGACCCAGGGCUAAGCCCUGGUCCAUGGAUUGGUGCCUCGGGACAAUGAUCAGUUGGGGAGUUUGGCUGGGGCGGCACGCCUGUUACAAGACAACGCAGGCGUCCUGAAGCAUUGCUCAGAUGGAACAGAACUCUGCCAUGGAGGAGCAGGCCAAAGGUGCUGCUGAUGCUGUGACUUCCAGUACAAGUCCAAAACAGGCAACUGUGGCCUUGCGAUCCUUUGGUUACCCAUUGGGUUCUGGAUAUCGAAGCCAGAGGUGUCAGAAAAAUUACCACAGGGAUAACUGGCUUGUGGCUGCCAAGCGUUCACAGCGACGUUGCUUUUUGAUCCUUCGAUGUCGGCUCUUCCUAGCUUCCCACCCGCAGCCGAGUGGAAGAGUUGGAUUGUUCACCCACCAACA
rnacentral:rRNA from 1 species